GCGAAGCGGGAAGAGCUCAAAUUUAUAAUCUGGCACCUUCGGUGUCCGAGUUGUAAUCUCUAGAAGUGUUUUCCGCGUUGGACCGCACACAAGUCUGUUGGAAUACAGCGGCAUAGUGGUGAAACCCCCGUAUAUGGUGCGGACGCCCAGCGCUUUGUGAUACACUUUCAAUGAGUCGAGUUGUUUGGGAAUGCAGCUCAAAUUGGGUGGUAAAUUCCAUCUAAAGCUAAAUAUUGGCGAGAGACCGAUAGCGAACAAGUACCGUGAGGGAAAGAUGAAAAGCACUUUGGAAAGAGAGUUAACAGUACGUGAAAUUGUUGGAAGGGAAACGCUUGAAGUCAGACUUGCUUGCCGGAGCUUGCUUCGGUUUGCAGGCCAGCAUCAGUUUUCCGGGGUGGAUAAUGACGGUUUGAAGGUAGCAGUCUCGGCUGUGUUAUAGCUUUCCGUUGGAUACAUCCUGGGGGACUGAGGAACGCAGCGUGCUUUUUGCGAAAGACUCGUCU
rnacentral:rRNA from 1 species